rnacentral:rRNA from 1 species
GUGCCAGCCGCCGCGGUAAUACCGGCAGCCCGAGUGAUGGCCGAUCUUAUUGGGCCUAAAGCGUCCGUAGCUGGCUGCGCAAGUCCGUAGGGAAAUCCACUUGCUCAACGAGUGGGCGUCCGACGGAAACUGCACAGCUUGGGACCGGAAGGCUCGAAGGGUACGUUCGGGGUAGGAGUGAAAUCCCGUAAUCCCGGACGGACUACCGAUGGCGAAAGCACUCUGAGAAGACGGCUUCGACAGUGAGGGACGAAAGCUCGGGUCUCAAACCGGAUUAGAUACCCCGGUAGUCC